rnacentral:rRNA from 1 species
ACGCACGAGCGGACAGAUGGGAGCUUGCUCCCUGAUGUUAGCGGCGGACGGGUGAGUAACACGUGGGUAACCUGCCUGUAAGACUGGGAUAACUCCGGGAAACCGGGGCUAAUACCGGAUGGUUGUUUGAACCGCAUGGUUCAGACAUAAAAGGUGGCUUCGGCUACCACUUACAGAUGGACCCGCGGCGCAUUAGCUAGUUGGUGAGGUAACGGCUCACCAAGGCGACGAUGCGUAGCCGACCUGAGAGGGUGAUCGGCCACACUGGGACUGAGACACGGCCCAGACUCCUACGGGAGGCAGCAGUAGGGAAUCUUCCGCAAUGGACGAAAGUCUGACGGAGCAACGCCGCGUGAGUGAUGAAGGUUUUCGGAUCGUAAAGCUCUGUUGUUAGGGAAGAACAAGUGCCGUUCAAAUAGGGCGGCACCUUGACGGUACCUAACCAGAAAGCCACGGCUAACUACGUGCCAGCAGCCGCGGUAAUACGUAGGUGGCAAGCGUUGUCCGGAAUUAUUGGGCGUAAAGGGCUCGCAGGCGGUUUCUUAAGUCUGAUGUGAAAGCCCCCGGCUCAACCGGGGAGGGUCAUUGGAAACUGGGGAACUUGAGUGCAGAAGAGGAGAGUGGAAUUCCACGUGUAGCGGUGAAAUGCGUAGNGNUGUGGAGGAACACCAGUGGCGAAGGCGACUCUCUGGUCUGUAAC